UCUCAAAUAUAAAAUAUAUUUUAUCCAUUUUAAAUAAAUCUUCAAAUAAUAAUUUAUUCUCAAAUAUAGAUUUAAGUUUUCGCUAUUGGAUCUUAUCCAACGAAUAAAAAUAAAAGUAUCUAUUAUUUUUGUUGACAAAAAUAUUAUCCAUAUCCGUUAUCUACUAUCUAUGUUACUCAAAUAUUUUUUUCUAUCCAUAAUACGGAAAACUAAAUUUAUCUCUUAUCUAACGUAAUACCUCCGCUAAAUUUAUUUUCUAUCCAAGCAUUUUCUCAAAUAUUUUUUUUCUCAAAUGUAAUACCUACCAAAAUUAAAUUUUAAAUUUGUAAUGACGGCCAAAAUUUAAUACCCGUGAAUUUGAUAAUUUGAAUUUUAAUUCAUGAUAGUAGAUUUUUCCUUACAUAAGAUAGUAGAUUUAAUUUUGACGAGUAUUAAAAUUUGGCGCGCCAUAGAAGUGUUAAAUAUUGCUAAAAAAAUUUAAUACCCCAAAUCAAAACUAAAUCGUUAAUUAAAUAUAAUUUUAAAUAUUUUUAGCAAAAUAUUCAAUAUUUAAAUAAU
rnacentral:lncRNA from 1 species